rnacentral:rRNA from 1 species
AGCUCCAAUAGCGUAUAUUAAAGUUGUUGCGGUUAAAAGCUCGUAGUUGGAUUUCUGUUGAGAACAGGCGGUCCACCUUUUGGGUGAGUAUCUGCAUUGGUCUCGGCAUCUUCUCGAAAUACGACUCUGCGCUUGAUUGCGUGGAUCGGAGUUCGGGACUUUUACUUUGAGGAAAUUAGAGUGUUCACGGCAGGCAUACGCCUUGAAUAUAUUAGCAUGGAAUAAUGAUAUAGGAUUUUGGUUCUAUUUUGUUGGUUUCUAGAGCUAAAAUAAUGAUUAAUAGGGACAAUUGGGGGCAUUCGUAUUAACGCGUCAGAGGUGAAAUUCUUGGAUUGCGUUACGACGAACUACUGCGAAAGCAUUUGCCAAGGAUGUUUUCA